UAGGGAAUCUUCCACAAUGGACGCAAGUCUGAUGGAGCAACGCCGCGUGAGUGAAGAAGGCUUUCGGGUCGUAAAACUCUGUUAUUGAAGAAGAACGUGUGUGACAGUAACUGGUCAUGCAGUGACGGUAUUCAAUCAGAAAGUCACGGCUAACUACGUGCCAGCAGCCGCGGUAAUACGUAGGUGGCAAGCGUUGUCCGGAUUUAUUGGGCGUAAAGCNAGUGCAGGCGGUCUUUUAAGUCUGAUGUGAAAGCCUUCGGCUUAACCGAA
rnacentral:rRNA from 1 species